CAAACAUUAUGAAUCCUGCUUCUUUGUGUUCUGGCCGAAGUAAUAAAAUAUAUUCCCAAUACUAAUACCACAAUUUAAAUUUAUUAUCUUCAUGUUUUACAGUAUCCACGGCAGUGAAAUCCAAUCCCAAGAGUAUCAUUACCAUUUCCAACUACUUAAGGAAUUAUUUUUGUUUAUGUUCUAAAGCCACAGCAAUAAAAUUUAAUACCAACAAUAAUACUACAACUUUGUAUGCCCUUAACACUUGCCAUAAAUGAUAAUGGUGAGAAAAAUGUCAGUAAACAUGUAAAUAUUUUUCCAGAAGAAACAGCCUUUUUGGUUUGUCUCAUUGUGAGGCCCAGUUUCUUAAUAGAGCAUCAAGAAACAUGCUCCUUUCCAAUUAGUCAAGAAGUCCUGUGGGUCCAGUCUCCUAAGCAUCUGUUGAAUGGGCCCAUACCCGCUCUGUCCAUACAGCCCCUGAAGCCAUGUUCCAUUGCAAUCAUCUGGGGGCCACCCUCCUGCUUGGAUGACCAAUACAGCCUCUCGCUUUCCUCUCUCCCUCUCUUCAUUCAGUGCUCUGCAUAGCAGCUAGGAUGAAGUUUGCAGAACACUGAUCUUGCCAGCUUCCAAGAAGAUAUGGGGGAUAGAAAACAAGUCAUACGAUUACUGCAAGGAAGCCAUCAGCCAAAUGCAGAAUGUGGGGUGCAAUGCAGGACAAAUGACCUGGUUUCUCUAACAAAUCAAUGGCAUAAAGGAGAGAUGGAAAAAGAGAGGAGGCGGUUGUGAUGGAAUCAUAGAGAUGUAAAGACUAUAAACACAAUGAACAAAUAUCAUCUGCAGGCUUUGUGGGGCUCCUGAUUCCCGAAGCCAACCGUAGAAAGACAGUUUGGAGAAAAUCAGGGAAGGAUGGCAAUAUUAGAGAACUACUGUUAAUUUCGUUGGCGUGUGCUUGUCUUCUUAUAGCAAGGUAAGAGGUGCAGUCUUGGGUAUUUACAGAGGAAGCGGCAUGAUGCCUUGCAUUUAUUUUUUAAAACACUGAAGCCCCCUCCUUCCUCAGAGUGAAUGGGUGGUGGGCAUAGAUGAGAACCAAGGUUGCCAAAAUGCUGACAGUUGUUGAAGAUGGGUACAGGUACAUGGAGGAUCAUUUUGUAUUCUGUUUACUUUUAUGCAUGUUGGAAAAGUGGCAUAAUUAAAUGUGAAGAACUUGAGUGAUUGGACCAGAUGAAGCCUUUGUUCUUUCCAAUAGGAACAAGAGUUAGUCACUAAAGAUACUUUUUUGUCACCUACUUCAAGUCGACAGAUUUUUUUACAGAACAUCUACCUCGUGCAACAUUGAGUGGGAAGCAGUUUCUGCCCCUCAGAAGCUCACCCCCUGGGUGGGGAGGAGAGACCUACAUUUGUUAAAGGCUUCCACAAACCAUGAAGUAAAGACAAGAGGAAGACAUGAGGUCGCAAGAGUCCGACUGCGACAUAGGGGAGGAGCAGGAAGUGGAUGUUGGACGCCUUUCACAGAAACAGCAGUGGCCAGCAGGAGGUGUGUGGGAAGCGGAGUUAGGGAAGGUCACAGAAGGUCACUGAAACCCGUGGUGGAGCCCCGUCACGAUCACCGUCUGGACUGUGAGCACGUCAUUUGCUUCACUGAGCCUCAUUUCCACUGUUAGGAGAAGGAAGGAUUGGGGAACAUUACAAAAAUACCUUCUGGUUGACCUCAUAAGGGUGUCAUGAGGGGAUACAGUCACAUCCUGCCAUACUGAGCAUGAGGAUGAUAACAUAUGAAUUUGGGGCAGGAGUGCAGUUGGACCCCUAACAGAAGGCUAAGUGAGACGCUGUAUGUUAAACCCUAGUAGAAAGCAGUCGUUUGAUCAAAGCACAAGGCCCUGAUGUCCUAGUCUUAUUUCCCUGCUGUGCCACCCCUGGUAAGGGGCAGAUGAGAAGAGAGCUAAGAAUUUUUUUUGGCUUCAGUGCUACCGAAUGGCCAAUUGUCUUGGUGAAUCUCCUUGGUGGUUUUAAGACAUCAUCUCUCAUGUCUGGAUUUUGCUCUCACGGUCACAUGCCCCGUGUCACCAGGACACAAGCUCACCUUUGUCUUCCUAUAAAUGAAGGGAAAUCUGUCCUGAGCCGCUUGGAUUGCUUACAGUAUCUUCACAAAACAGCUUUUCAGUAUUUCUUCAAUUGAAAUACAAGCAAGCAAACAACCACCACAAAAAUGAAGAAAGAGGUAGAAAGAGUGACUUGGUUCCAAAGAUAAGAAAUGUGAAAAGCCUUCUUUGACCAGAUCAGUCUCUUGGAAAUUCUAUCACCAGACCCAUAGUAGCAGCUCCUGUUGUGAGGCCUUGACUCUCUUUGUUUCCGGGUUCCUGCUUCGCCAGUCACGUGUUCCUUUGCAUGGUCAUCUGGGGGCUCUCUGUCACUCAAAGUGUCCCUCUGCCCGGGGUUAAUGACUAUGAGCGAGGACUUGCUAACUGGUCCCCACCUUCUUCUGAAGAGAGGCAGAUGGAGACUUUUGAGCCCCACACGUGAUUGCCAGCAGCCUCCAACUCUCCAAGACCUCUCCACUCUGACCUUCUGUGCUUUUGUGGUUAAUGACAAUCAUACGUGUUCAGAAGGCCACAGCUAAUUGGGCAAUCCGAUUAAGUGGAGGUAGAUACUUUUUCCCCAACAGACAGCAAUGUAUAUUCCAAGACCGUAAAUAAUGAAUUUGAGAAGAAAAUUAACCAUGAAAACGAAUGGAGGUUUAAAAGAAAAAAAACAAACAAACAACUUUUAUUUCUAGAUUUUGGGGGACAAAAUUUCUGGUUGCAAUUUUGGAUAUUCUUGAUGGAUGGAUCUGCUUCAGGUGGGGGAUGUCAAAGGCUCAGGUGUGAGUGGCAGGGGAUGGGGGACUGCAGCUGCAGAACAGUGAGGCCAGAUGGCUUGCAAGGAAGGAGUGAAAACUCAGGGAAUUCUAAUGAUGAGAGCCCUCAAAGAGCUUUCAGAGAGCUGGCCGACAUGCUGGGAAUCCUGGAAGCCAUUGCAAUUAGCAUCUAGAAGUGACUGUGGGAUAUCCUUGCCUAACAUACAGGCCUACAGGCAAUCCUGUCUCAGGGUCUGAAGCGUGUGCUCAGAACAAAUGAACAGAUUAUAUAUCUAGCAUAUAUAUGUAUACAACUGUGUACAAAUUUUAUAUUAUUUAUAUGCAAGAUAGAUAUAUAUUUUAUAUGUAUAUAUUUAUAUGCAUGUUAUACACACACAUAUCCACACCACCCAUUUGUUAAAUCUUUGCUGAUAAGAAUAAAAUCAAAUGGGGAGGAAGU